GACGAACGCUGGCGGCGUGCUUAACACAUGCAAGUCGAACGGUAAGGCCCUUCGGGGUACACGAGUGGCGAACGGGUGAGUAACACGUGGGUGAUCUGCCCUGCACUUCGGGAUAAGCCUGGGAAACUGGGUCUAAUACCGGAUAGGACCCUGGGAUGCAUGUCCUGGGGUGGAAAGCUUUUGCGGUGUGGGAUGGGCCCGCGGCCUAUCAGCUUGUUGGUGGGGUGAUGGCCUACCAAGGCGACGACGGGUAGCCGGCCUGAGAGGGUGACCGGCCACGCUGGGACUGAGAUACGGCCCAGACUCCUACGGGAGGCAGCAGUGGGGAAUAUUGCACAAUGGGCGCAAGCCUGAUGCAGCGACGCCGCGUGAGGGAUGACGGCCUUCGGGUCGUAAACCUCUUUCAGCACCGACGAAGCGCAAGUGACGGUAGGUGCAGAAGAAGGACCGGCCAACUACGUGCCAGCCGCCGCAGUAA
rnacentral:rRNA from 1 species